rnacentral:rRNA from 1 species
GACGAACGCUGGCGGCGUGCUUAACACAUGCAAGUCGAACGGAAAGGCCCUGCUUUUGUGGGGUGCUCAAGUGGCGAACGGGUGAGUAACACGUGAGUAACCUGCCCUUGACUUUGGGAUAACUUCAGGAAACUGGGGCUAAUACCGGAUAGGAGCUCCUGCUGCAUGGUGGGGGUUGGAAAGUUUCGGCGGUUGGGGAUGGACUCGCGGCUUAUCAGCUUGUUGGUGGGGUGGUGGCUUACCAAGGCUUUGACGGGUAGCCGGCCUGAGAGGGUGACCGGCCACACUGGGACUGAGAUACGGCCCAGACUCCUACGGGAGGCAGCAGUGGGGAAUAUUGCACAAUGGGCGGAAGCCUGAUGCAGCAACGCCGCGUGCGGGAUGACGGCCUUCGGGUUGUAAACCGCUUUCGCCAGGGACGAAGCGAGAGUGACGGUAAUGGGAAAAGAAGCACCGGCUAACUACGUG